UAGUAUUCAAUUGUCAGAGGUGAAAUUCUUGGAUUUAUUGAAGACUAACUACUGCGAAAGCAUUUGCCAAUGAUGUUUUCAUUAAUCAAGAACGAAAGUUAGGGGAUCGAAGACGAUCAGAUACCGUCGUAGUCUUAACCAUAAACUAUGCCGACUAGGGAUCGGACGAUGUUAAUUUUUUAAUGACUCG
rnacentral:rRNA from 1 species